rnacentral:rRNA from 1 species
CCUACGGGAGGUUGCAGUGGGGAAUAUUGGACAAUGGGCGAAAGCCUGAUCCAGCCAUGCCGCGUGUGUGAAGAAGGCCUUCGGGUUGUAAAGCACUUUCAGUGGGGAAGAAAGCCUUGGGGCUAAUACCCUCGAGGAAGGACAUCACCCACAGAAGAAGCACCGGCUAACUCCGUGCCAGCAGCCGCGGUAAUACGGAGGGUGCGAGCGUUAAUCGGAAUUACUGGGCGUAAAGCGCGCGUAGGCGGUCUGAUAAGCCGGUUGUGAAAGCCCCGGGCUCAACCUGGGAACGGCAUCCGGAACUGUCAGGCUAGAGUGCAGGAGAGGAAGGUAGAAUUCCCGGUGUAGCGGUGAAAUGCGUAGAGAUCGGGAGGAAUACCAGUGGCGAAGGCGGCCUUCUGGACUGACACUGACGCUGAGGUGCGAAAGCGUGGGUAGCAAACAGGAUUAGAUACCCGUGUAGUC